GCAGAUCUGCGUCAGAUUGAGAAGUUUUCAGACGAGAACAAUAAAAGAGUGACCAAUGAGGCGGAAAAACAGGAACAAGCGGAUCUAAAGAACAGCGAGGGCAAGAAACAGCGCCUGAUGACGGAGCUGAACCAGCUCAAAACGCAGCUGCAGAACGCGGUGAUGGAACACAGGGAAAACGAGCAGGAACUCAGAAGAAAAAAAUUCAGAGUUGAGUCACAAGUUGAGAACUGGAUCCAGAAAUAUGAUACAGACAUGAAUGAAAGACAGAGUGAGUACGAGGAGAUAGACCUGGUGUACACCGAGGAGAAGAAGCAGCUCCAUGAGUUGGAGGAGCGGUUCAAGACGCUGGAGGCAGAGUACCAGCAGAUCAUGGAGGAGCGCCGCGUGGCGAGGGAGAAGCGAGAGGCGGCGGAGAGAGAGAUGGCGCUGAUGGUGAAGGCCGCCACCACUAUCCAGGCAUUCUGGCGGUCCUUCAAAGUCCGCAAGGCACUCAAGGCCCGCAAGAAGAAGGGUGGCGGCAAAAAGAAAAAGUAAAGCUUUGUGUGAGGUGGCUGUGUUGUCUGCGGGUUGGUGUGGCAUGCUGACAUCACUAUAUUUGUGACAUCACUAUAUGUGUCUCAUCACAAUAGCAUGCAUUGUCUUUGUAAUUAAAUAACUAGCUAUACCAUCUGGUUGUUGAAAUGUACUCACAUGAUAUAUGUAAACACAAUAAAUUGUCUGCUUUUG
rnacentral:misc_RNA from 1 species